GACGAACGCUGGCGGCGUGCUUAACACAUGCAAGUCGAACGGUGAACCUCUUCGGAGGGGAUCAGUGGCGAACGGGUGAGUAACACGUGGGCAACCUGCCCCCGGCUCUGGGAUAACUCCAAGAAAUUGGGGCUAAUACCGGAUGUUCACCGCUUCCCGCAUGGGUGGUGGUGGAAAGGGUUUCCGGCUGGGGAUGGGCCCGCGGCCUAUCAGCUUGUUGGUGGGGUAGUGGCCUACCAAGGCGACGACGGGUAGCCGGCCUGAGAGGGUGACCGGCCACACUGGGACUGAGACACGGCCCAGACUCCUACGGGAGGCAGCAGUGGGGAAUAAUGCGCAAUGGGCGGAAGCCUGACGCAGCGACGCCGCGUGGGGGAUGACGGCCUUCGGGUUGUAAACCUCUUUCAGCAGGGACGAAGCGCAAGUGACGGUACCUGCAGAAGAAGCACCGGCCAACUACGUG
rnacentral:rRNA from 1 species